ACAUGCAAGUCGGAGGGGCAGCACAGUGUAGCAUACNUGGGUGGCCGACCGGCGCACGGGUGCGUAACGCGUAUCCAACCUUCCCGUUACUCUUGGAUAGCCUUCCGAAAGGGAGAUUAAUACCUGAUGGUGUUCAAAUUCCGCAUGUUAUUUGAACUAAAGAUUUAUCGGUAACGGAUGGGGAUGCGUGACAUUAGGUAGAUGGCGGGGUAACGGCCCACCAUGCCUACGAUGUCUAGGGGUUCUGAGAGGAAGGUCCCCCACACUGGAACUGAGACACGGUCCAGACUCCUACGGGAGGCAGCAGUGAGGAAUAUUGGUCAAUGGUCGGAAGACUGAACCAGCCAAGUAGCAUGAAGGAUGAAGGUUCUAUGGAUUGUAAACUUCUUUUAUACGGGAAUAAAACCUCCCACGUGUGGGAGCUUGUAUGUACCGUAUGAAUAAGCAUCGGCUAACUCCGUG
rnacentral:rRNA from 1 species